rnacentral:rRNA from 1 species
UAGGGAAUAUUGGACAAUGGGUGAGAGCCUGAUCCAGCCAUGCCGCGUGCAGGAAGACGGCCUUCUGGGUUGUAAACUGCUUUUAUCUGGGGAUAAAAAGGCCUUGCGAGGCAAACUGAAGGUACCAGAUGAAUAAGCCACGGCUAACUACGUGCCAGCAGCCGCGGUAAUACGUAGGUGGCAAGCGUUGUCCGGAUUUAUUGGGUUUAAAGGGUGCGUAGGCGGCUUAUUAAGUCAGUGGUGAAAGACGGUAGCUUAACUAUCGAGGUGCCAUUGAUACUGAUGAGCUUGAGUACAGUUGAGGUAGGCGGAAUGGACGGUGUAGCGGUGAAAUGCAUAGAUAUCGUCCAGAACACCGAUAGUGAAGACAGCUUACCAAGCUGUAACUGACGCUGAGGCA